rnacentral:rRNA from 1 species
AACAGGAUUAGAUACCCUGGUAGUCCACGCCGUAAACGAUGCUAACUCGUUUUUGGGUUUUCGGAUUCAGAGACUAAGCGAAAGUGAUAAGUUAGCCACCUGGGGAGUACGAACGCAAGUUUGAAACUCAAAGGAAUUGACGGGGGCCCGCACAAGCGGUGGAUUAUGUGGUUUAAUUCGAUGAUACGCGAGGAACCUUACCAAGGCUUAAAUGGGAAAUGACAGGUUUAGAAAUAGACUUUUCUUCGGACAAUUUUCAAGGUGCUGCAUGGUUGUCGUCAGCUCGUGCCGUGAGGUGUCAGGUUAAGUCCUGCAACGAGCGCAACCCCUGUCACUAGUUGCCAUCAUUAAGUUGGGGACUCUAGUGAGACUGCCUACGCAAGUAGAGAGGAAGGUGGGGAUGACGU